rnacentral:misc_RNA from 1 species
GCAAACUUGGUCAUUUAGAGGAAGUAAAAGUCGUAACAAGGUCUCCGUUGGUGAACCAGCGGAGGGAUCAUUACAGAGUUAUCCAAACUCCCAAACCCAUGUGAAUCUACCAGUAUAGUUGCCUCGGCGGUUGCUGGUGUCUUGUAGCUACCCGGAACCUACCCGGUACUGUGUAGCUACCCGGCACCGUUCGGCCCGCCGAAGGUCCACAACCAAACUCUUUGUUUUUUAUAGUGGCAAUCUGAAUUCAAAAAACUUAAUAAGUUAAAACUUUCAACAACGGAUCUCUUGGUUCUGGCAUCGAUGAAGAACGCAGC